UAGUGUGGAUGCUUAAUCAGCAUCCACACAAUUAGGGCAACACUUGUUGACCAUGUUGUCAAUCACGGCCUCACAAUGGAUGAGGCUGGUCGGAGGGUGCAACCAAAUGUUGGAAGAACACUGUGAAUUCAAUCAGUCAAACAUUUUGUAGGGAGAACAGGUAUGCAUAGUAUUGGACAGUUAUCCAACAUCUCAUAAUAUCUCAUGGUUAGUGUACAUUACUGUAAUUUUACUGUACACGGCUGUACAAAAAGUGUAUAGUGCUGUCUUGAGCAUUUUCAGGUAGUGUCACGAAGUUCUGACCUUUUUUGCAUUGGAAAACACUGAGAGAAUACUGUAAACUGGCAUAAUGGAAACAUGAUAAAGCCGUUUGACUAUCUUGUUCAUCAAGAUGGUGUCAAGACUUCUCAUUUUGAUGACACUGCCAGUUUCAUUGACAGGAAUACUUGCUUUUGAGGAAUAGAUUAUCGAUUUUGAGCAAGUGACCUAUCCACUAGGUUUUGCAGUUUGCACCAAUUGUUUUGAGAAAUACACUAACUGCUGUGCAAAUGUUAAUGGUGAUGUGAGAAAAGCAUGAAAGGGACUGAGAAAAACUGUAAUAACAUAUCAAUGAAAUAGUCUGACUAUGCAAUUUAUAUGCAGCCAUAGUCAGCCAUUGAUUUCUUCAAAACAACAAACAACUAAUGUUUUGAGGAAAUUGCAAACCCUUCUGGCCAGUAAUCACACAAGAUGUACAUGCAGGAAGCAAAGGCUGAUAAAGGAGCAGGCACAAAAUUCAGACAAAUCCAAGACAUAAUGAAACUAAUUAAAAUAACAGUGUCCAUGCACAAAUCAGGCAUCACUAAACACUUAAAGGUCACAGAUCUUUAGAACCACAGCCAAACAAGAAUUCCUUUUCUUUUUUUAUAAAUAAAUGUGUAGGUUCUAGCUAAAUGUGUGUUUAAAAAAAAGGAAAACAAAAGGAGGGCCACAACAAUCAUGGUAAGAGGAGUUGGCACUGUGGCCCUAACAAGACCGUUCAGUUCUGCUUAAAUAAUCAGUUUCCCUUGUGUCCGGACAACACAACAGCUGUAUUUUAUUUGUUUUUUCCUGGGAAAAUAACAACGAUGACAAGAAAAAUUAUAAUUUCUUCUUCUUCAAAAAAAAUAUUGCGGUCACUGAUCUGCCUCUCUGACUGCUGUGCGUGCUCCCAACACAAGGGAAGAAGCUGGGGAAGCUGAUGAACUAGGGGUGGAUAAAAACAACCGUUUUUAUCAGCAAUUUUGGUUGCUGUGAUAUACAACUUGAUGUUAAGUACACAUAGUUAUUAAUUUUGGUGCUAGUUAAGCUGUAUACAGGACACAGUACACAAGUCAAUGCCUUCAAACUGUCAUGGUCGAACGGUCCUUCCCGGGCGACCUGCCUGUGUGUGUCUCUCUCUCCUCCUCCCCAUCCUUGUUGUCUCCACCCAGCGGCCGACACACCUGCACCUAAUUUGCCACCCAGCUGUCACUAAUCAUCCUUCGUCUUGGGCUGAGGUAUUUAAUUGUGUGUCCAGACGGCAGUCGACGCUGGAUUGUACUUGAAGCUCGGAGGAAGAGAUACGGAGCAGGAGGUUGGAGAGAAGGAGCCCGCUGGAUUAAGCUCUUGGACGAGAAAACACACUCGGAUAAUCACUUUGGAAACUCACCUGCACACCACUGGGAGUUUGGAGAAGAUCACUGUUGGAUUUUUGCACUUUGCUUUGUGUUUGGAGACUGUUUUUGAGCACUGUAAAUAAAGGCACUGUUUGCUUCGCAUCCAGA